rnacentral:rRNA from 1 species
UACGUAUGGGGCAAGCGUUGUCCGGAAUCAUUGGGCGUAAAGCGCGUGUAGGCGGCUCGAUAAGUCUGCUGUGAAAGUUCAGGGCUCAACCCUGAAAUGCCGGUGGAAACUGUCGAGCUAGAGUCCGGAAGAGGCGAGUGGAAUUCCUGGUGUAGCGGUGAAAUGCGCAGAUAUCAGGAGGAACACCAAUGGCGAAGGCAGCUCGCUGGGACGGUACUGACGCUGAGACGCGAAAGCGUGGGGAGCAAACAGG